CUCUCCUCACCUCUCCUCUGUACCCCAAGUUACACUAAACCAUCAGCAUGCAUAGACAACUCACCACCGCAGCCUGGGCUGAAACCUCAUCACUGGCAAUGAAAGGACAAUUCAUUACAUGGAGAACAAAUAUGAACCCACCAAAGCGAAUGAAUGGGGAGAACAUGAAUCUUACGUUACGGCAAUAGGACAAGAGUAAAGAAAAUAGAGAACACAUAAUGAAGAGUUUGGGCCUCUUAUGCUCUUUUUUCACCAAUGCCGGUUUUUAAUAUUUUAUCAAAAAGAUUUAAGAACCGUGAGUUUCUGGAUCCAGGGGACCUGCGUGCUAUCAGUAGCCCAACGACUGGUCUCCUCCCCCGGCGACACAGCCACCCACGCCUCGGUACAAUGGCUACUCCUUUACACGCAGCAGUUGUGAAACUAUGACAGAACAAGAAAGCAUAUGUCUGGCUAUGAAAAACUGAAGAGAACAGAGCGUUUAGGCCUAUACAGUGGAGGAACACGCCGGCCUUAUCUGAAAGUCGCUAUCGGGAGAGAGACCUGAACAUGGUCUGCAUCGUGUAGGGAAGCAAGAGAUCGGUUCUCCUUCAUGAAAAAUAAUCGAAGGGGUGAAUUGACUGAGCUGGGUUUUGGGAUCCUAUGAUACGGCUGCUGGCAGCCAAUACAUCCUACUGCAGUAGCCUACAACUGAACCAGACCCACACCGACCCAGCCCGAACCAAGCUCGACCCAGGGCUGCUGUUUCCCGGACUACUAGGGCUGUAACCUGUGUUAAAUGUGGUCAGCCGAGGCCUCACUUUUCUGAGGCUGUGGCUUUUUCGCGUCCUAUAGGGUUUCCAAAAUGCUCUUCCCGGAGAGGCGACUCACUCAGCGGACAGGAGAAGCCAGACAAGCCGCUGCCUGGUUGGAAAACCAGCAUGGAGCAAGAGGCAAUGGACGGAGCGUUGCAGACAGCUUUUCUGGUCUCACAGAAUCGUAAGGCUAUAAUAACAAACCUGGUGCGAUGGACUAAAGGUUGUUCUGAAUGUUGAACUAUUGAUUGAUUUUAUUUUCAAGUGGUCACUUAUUUUCUUGCUAGGAUGCAGACAAAUACACUCGUAGCAGACGACUGUGGGGGACAUGUCCAUAUAUUGCAGACAUUCACUUGUCUUUUCUUUUGUUUUCACGGUGAAAGAAGAAAGUAAGGCGGAUUUAAGGGCCUGAUACUCUUUAUCUUAACCUCAUGCAUUUGUAAAUCCCCGGUCGCCUCCCUCUCACUGUUCCAGCAGACGAUGCUCUUUCUCCGGAGGCUGCUUGACAAAAGAGCAAGUUAACUAACAUUUCGCCCCAUUUCCAUAUCUCAGAAUCCCCAAUUAAUUAUAGAUUAUCUGUAAACUCAGAGUGUGUGUGUGUGUGUGUCCUCAGGUUAGACUGAAGGGUGAAAUAAAACGAUAAAAAAGGACCGUACGUUGCCAAUUGAGCUUAUAUCAGAAAUACCAUUUGCAAGUGUUUAAUUUUCAAACGAAUACGAAUAAAAAUAUAACUACUAUUGCUUUUUGUGAAUGGUUAUUACAAUAAUAAUACAAUAAUAUAGGAUCAAAUUCCUGACGCUUUCUCCCUGGGUCAUUGUUUUCCAUUGCUUUGAGGCAUGUUCAGCCCUCGGUAUCGGUCUGACUCCUGCCAUAAGGACUGUUCUCCCUUGUUUCAAAUCUGAUGGUUUUAGUCCAAAGCACCGGCGCCCUCUGGGGUCCGUUAGGUCACGACUGGGGAAGUUUGACCCUUUCCUCAAAACACACAGACCCACUGGCAAACCCUCUAUACCCAACACACUGACCCAGCUCCCUUAGGCUACACACAGACCAUAACCAGAACAGCCCCAACACAAGUCACAACACGUAGAGAAGCAACAGCACACAUGCAGGGUGUGUAAGCGACGGAAACACACAAGGACUCAAGGAGGUAAUGUUAAAUAAAAAUAGUUUUUCUUUAUCAAAAUCCAUAACUAUCAAUGGACAAAUAUAGCCCCAUAAUAAUGGAAUUUAUGGUUAAAUCAUGUUCAUCAAAAUGGUCAGAAUUUAAUCACAUAUCAAAAUCCAUGUCAAUUUCACAUUAGAAUAUUGCGUGGCAGUGCACAGUGAAUUUUAAUAAAAUAAAAGCUUGCGAUGCUAACUAAUUAAUUCCCCCAAAUUAUAUACAACUUGUUCAUAUAGUUUCACUUGCAAAAUACGUUUACCGGGAGAAGCAAAUCAUAUUCCCAUACUUUGCGUUACACAAUACGUACAGACAUAACUCCACAGAGAAAUCUCAAAUUUCUUCUCCUUCCAUUCAAACACAGAAUAAUGUCCGAUACCAAUUAACUUUUCCCCCACAUUAACCCAACCUAAAACUUCUCGACGUUUUAAUGGCAUGGACCCUAAACCAGACAACUCGAAUACAUAAACACACAAUCAGUUUAUAACUUUGAAUAUUCCUUCCUUUAAAUUCCCAAAAGCAUAUACCCAUGCAGCAACAAAAGAGAAAUAAAAACU